rnacentral:rRNA from 1 species
AUUGAACGCUGGCGGCGUGCUUUACACAUGCAAGUCGAGCGGUAACAGGCCGCAAGGUGCUGACGAGUGGCGAACGGGUGAGUAAUGCAUCGGAACGUGCCCAGUCGUGGGGGAUAACGCAGCGAAAGCUGUGCUAAUACCGCAUACGAUCUAUGGAUGAAAGCGGGGGACCGUAAGGCCUCGCGCGAUUGGAGCGGCCGAUGUCAGAUUAGGUAGUUGGUGGGGUAAAGGCCCACCAAGCCAACGAUCUGUAGCUGGUCUGAGAGGACGACCAGCCACACUGGGACUGAGACACGGCCCAGACUCCGACAGGAGGAAGCAGUGGGGAAUUUUGGACAAUGGGCGCAAGCCUGAUCCAGCAAUGCCGCGUGCAGGAAGAAGGCCUUCGGGUUGUAAACUGCUUUUGUACGGAACGAAAAGGUCUGGGUUAAUACCCUGGGCCGAUGACGGUACCGUAAGAAUAAGCACCGGCUAACUACGUGCCAGCCGCCGCGGUAA